rnacentral:rRNA from 1 species
CACGGAUCAACUCCGGUUGAUCCUGCCGGCGGGCACCGCUAUGGGAGUUCGCUUAAGACAUGCGAGUCGAGAGGUGCAAGACCUCGGCGGACGGCUCAGUAACACGCGGAUAAUCUGCCCUCAGGUGGGGAAUACU